CCCGCCGAGCGCGGGCGCCACAGCGAGCCCCCGAAGCCCAGCUUUGGGGGUGCCUGGACCGGGGAAGGUGGGGGAGAGGCGGGGGGAGGGGAGGGCGGCGCAGGCCGCGGACCAGCGCCCGGCCUGCGGGGGGGAGGGGCGCCACCCCCGCGCGCGCCCCCGAGGCUCCCGGCCCGCGCGGGGGCGGGGAGGAGGCCGCGGCCGGGCGGUCGCCGCGCCCCAGUUGAAAACGCGCCCAAGCGGGAAGCUGGCAAGUAGAACCCCCCCCCCCGAGACACACACACACACAGUCCCGCGCCCACUUUCGGACCUCGCCGCGCGCCCGGGGCGGGAGACUCGCGGCCCAGUUCCCGCCAAGCGCGGGCGCGUCCGGAGGGUCGGGCCAAGUCGCCUGAGGACACGCUGGUGGCGGACGCCAAUCCUGGAGAGGCGGGGCAGCCAGGUGCAGCCGGCCGGGCCGCGCCGAGACGGCCCCCGCGUCGCAGGUGGCGGCCGCCCCGGCGGAGGGACGACGGGGCUCGCCCUCUCCCUAGGCCGCGCUUCUUGCUGCAAGAUGGCUGUGUUUUUGUCAGCCUCCGGAACAAUGUGCAACGCAGCUGUAGCUGUCUAGGGCCCGGCCGGCGGUCCGGCCGGAGUGGCCCUGUCAGCCGCUUCGCCGUUGGAAGAUGGCUGUGCCGAGAAAUCUCGUUGACACGAUCGUCUAGAAUGUUGUCAGCUGUAAGAGGUUGACCGCGGCAGGUCUAAGGAAGAGCCGCUUUAGGGCUUGCUGCGUUACCCGCUUUCCCACUGCUCAGCAGCUUGGGGAACAGACUGCAUAGCUCAAGUUCUCAUUAACUGACCCACAAACAUCUCAACCAUCCCCGGAUGGUACUGACCAGGCUCCCACAACUUCGUGAAGGCUCUCGGUCCUGAAGAAGAUCCAGGCAGUGAAGGAGAUAAAUUUCAUAGAUGAAGGGCAGUACUAUAUGUAAUCUGAAGCCCUCUCGAAGCAGUUUUGUCAUAAACAUUAUCCUGAAACAGAUAUGUGGAAAUCAGAUAGGAGAGAAGAAAUGGAUUUGUCCAAGGUCACUUAAGGGAGGAACAGACCCUGGAGAAAGAAAAACUCCAGGCCUCCCGUUUCAUUAUUUUUUAAUGAGUGUUAAGUGUUAAUGUGAUGAACACACGCAAUCUGUAGUACUGUCCUGAAAGCACAUAUGCAAAGAAGCCUCCACUGCGCUGGCAGGGAAGAAUUCCUAUAAUCCGAGCCAAGAAGCCUUUUUUUUUUUUUUUUUCUUUUGCUUGUUUGUUUUGUUUUCAGGAAACUAAAAUAUUUGUUGCUGGAUUUAUCCAAGAAGGCUGUUACGUAUCAAUUGAGUCAAUCCUAUCUCCAAGAAUGUUAACGUGUCAUGGAUAGUGCUCUCUUUCUUUGUAUUCUUGCUAGGUUUUCCCAUACUUCCUGCUGCCUUUAAGCAAAUAUUUCUGAGGGAUGGACUGCGUCAGAUGAACCACUUAGUGAAGAGUGCGGGUUCUCCGAACCAACUGAAGUCCAUAUGUAACAUGGCAGCAGUAAGGUUGAUUUGUGUGACGGUAGUCCACGAGCUCUUUCUGGGAUUAUGACUGGUUAUCCUGUUAGCAAUGGCUGGGAAUGUUACAGUGAACAGCGCCUGUAAUAAGUCCUGCCCUAGUUGAGGCUCUCUCUCCCACACUCUCACUCAGAAUUGCCUCACCCAGGGAAGCUGUACUUGGCCAGGGGACAGGAUGCUUUGGGGCCCUAAGCGUGUCAAGAGACUGUAGCUAAGGGAAAUGAUGGAGAUUUUGUUUCCAGUUAAUGGAGGGUAGGAGAGCUGCUAGUGGAAAAAAAAAAAAAAAAAAAGCCUUGAGCCUUUUCUUUCCAAGAAGGAUUCUUAAGGGGACCCAGAGGCUACUCUUGUGUUCUUUCAGAGGGGAUCUCCCUGUGUAGUUCCUGGCUUAGCCUGGAACUGACAUGUAGAGCAGCAGGCUCCCCUCCGACUCAAGAGAUCUGCCCGCCUCCUAAAUGCUGGGAUUAAAGGCACAUGCCACCACACCCAGCUGCCAGACUCCACUUGUGGAGAUCACUUACGACUUCAGCAUUUGGAGUUUAUAAUAAUAGGAGAGGGGGAUCAAAUUAAGCUAAAAUAUUUCUCCUAGCAAAGAAUAAUUAUGGCCACUGAUUAAGAUUUGCUUAUAAGCCAGGUGCACGAGCACAUGCCUGUGAUCCAAGCACUUGGGGAGGCAGAGGCAGGCGAACCUGGUCUACAAAGUGAGUCCAGGACAGCCAAGGCUACACAGAGAAACCCUGUCAUAGGAAAACAAAACAACAACAAAAAGAUUUGCUUAUAAAUGAAAGGAUGGGAUGACUUGCCAAAGCUAGGUUUGAUGAUGCAUGCUUCCAAUCCCAACAAUCCUUUAUCAGAUGCAGAUGGUUGGCUGGGAGUUUGAGGCUAGCCUGCGCUACAUAGGGAGUUCCAAAUCAGUCAAGACCACAUGGGGAGACUCUAUCAAAAGUACAAAAACAAAGAAUGUCAGUCACUAUAUAUUCUUCUUUUUUGGUCACCAAGCACAAAGAAUACUGCCUGUUGGAGAUGUUUCUGAAUACUUAACAUUUUCUUUGUGGUGUUGAUUUCAGGCUGUCGUUUGUUUAUUGUCUGUUUCCUGCCAGGAAGAACAUAAACUCUAGAAAGUUUUGCCUGUUUCUUCUGUUGAAGCGUUGCCCCACCACAUCCCUUCUACCUCUUUGGUUUGGAGCCCCUUUUCUGCUGGCUGUAACCGUUAGGAAAUCCCACCUACUCCCAGGGAAGUCAUACACAAAAGUAGGCGACACUCCCGUAUGCCCAGCUUGUUGAGCCAUGACCAAUCUUGUGUUCCAUCUGCACUGUUUUUGUUUCGACAGAUCUCAGUCUGGCCUUGAACUCUUGAUUCUUUGCCUAAGUCUCUGGCAUGUGCCACCUACCACACCCAACUCUGAUGAACCUUUUGAAUAUCAUAACUAUAGAUUCUCUUUAUUGAAAAGCAUGGAUCAUGUGUCCUAUGGCCUCAGACCCUCACCUUUCUCCAAAACUUUCUCCUCUUGUCCAGAAAAUAGUGUCAUCUAUUCAAGUGCUCAGUCCACAGUUCAGACUACAUCCUAGAUCAUCCUCUGCCUUUCCUGGGAAAUUUUUAUCUGAGACAAGGUCUUAUGCUGGCCAGGCAGCUUCUCUGAAGUGCGGGGAAAAGUGUGCCAACACACUUGGGGUUUUGUUUGGUGUUGUUUUCAAGACAGGGUUUCUCUGUAUAACCCAGAGAUCCACCUACCUUUGCCUGCCAGGUGCUGGGAUUGAAAGCAUGUGCAGCCGUUACCUCAGCCACACUUGGUUUUGUGUGGUGCCAAGGGAUCAAACCGAGUGCUUUGUUCUAAGAAAUCAUUCUGCCAAUUGAGCUACAUCUUCAAUUCCGUCUUCCCUUUAUUAGCAAAUGCAAUCUUGAGAUGGGAUGGGAUUUAAUGCUAAUACCCCAACAAAACAUUUUCAUUUGUAAACUAGAUACAGUUAAACUUUUUUGAGACAGCAUCUCAUGUAGUCCAGGCUGGCCUGAAACUUGCUAUGUAGCUAAGGAUGGUUUGUCUUAAACUUCUGAGCCUCCUGCUUCUGCUUCGCAAGAGCUGGGAUUACAGAUGUGCACCCACCGUGCCUAGUUUUAUUUGGUUCUGGGGCUCAAGCCCAGGGCUGCUGUGUGUAUCAGCCAAGCACUCCACUAACUGGGCUUCGUUCUCAGUCACCAGCUGUAGUGUUUAAAGGACAUCACGUUUUUUCCUUUAUUUUAUGUGGCUGAUGUUUCGCCUGCUUGUAUGUCUGCACUGUCUGUAUAGUGCCCUCCCACUCCAGAAGAGGACAUCAGAUCUGCAGGGGACUGGAGUUACAGAUGGUUGUCAGCCACUAGGAUGUCCAAGCAUGAAAAACUGGGCCCUGCAGAGUCUGGUGUACUUCAUUCGCAAGUGAAAAAAUAGGAGAUCAUUCACCAGGGCUAAUCAUCACCAGUUAUGUUCCAUUAAACUCAGUAUAUAUUAA